rnacentral:rRNA from 1 species
GACGAACGCUGGUGGCGUGCUUAACACAUGCAAGUCGAACGGAAAGGCCCUGCUUUUGUGGGGUGCUCGAGUGGCGAACGGGUGAGUAACACGUGAGUAACCUGCCCUUGACUUUGGGAUAACUUCAGGAAACUGGGGCUAAUACCGGAUAGGAGCUCCUGCUGCAUGGUGGGGGUUGGAAAGUUUCGGCGGUUGGGGAUGGACUCGCGGCUUAUCAGCUUGUUGGUGGGGUAGUGGCUUACCAAGGCUUUGACGGGUAGCCGGCCUGAGAGGGUGACCGGCAACAUUGGGACUGAGAUACGGCCCAGACUCCUACGGGAGGCAGCAGUGGGGAAUAUUGCACAAUGGGCGGAAGCCUGAUGCAGCAACGCCGCGUGCGGGAUGACGGCCUUCGGGUUGUAAACCGCUUUCGCCUGUGACGAAGCGUGAGUGACGGUAAUGGGUAAAGAAGCACCGGCUAACUACGU